GCCAAUUUAGCGACGUUGUCGUUAUAUUUAGCAAGUAUUCAGACCCCUCUAGCGACACAUUUUCAAAAAAGCGACUAGAGACAAAUCUAGCGACUUUUCCUGGUGUUAUUGGAGACUUUUGGAGACUUUGACGUGAAAGCACGCAUCGUUCUUACUCUUCUCAACGUGCAGCGUGUGCUGCCGGGCCCCACCCCGUCCCGGUCCCUUUCCUUACUGAGGAGUUGGCAACACACCAAGUGCCUGAGCAAAGUGAAAGUGAAAGUUGUGUCUCAGUAUAGGACUGAGGUGUCGAUUGUUCUGUAAAAACGUGGAGAUAUGCACAUAUAGUGAUUAUUAGAGUGGUUAUGGAUUUAAAUCAACUAUUUUGAAUGUGAAGUGGAGGACGUGAAGACCAGUAAAGUUAAAAUGGCAGAGUCCAGAGUUCAUAAUCAGUUUAAACUCACCUCAGAAGACUAUGUGGAGGCUGAUGUUGGUGAAGAGGUCACCCUCCCCUGUCACCUCUCACCUGACACCAGUGCUGUUGCCACGACGAUCAGGUGGUUUAAGGAGACAGAGUGUAUUUACCUGUAUAAGAAUGGCCAGGUGACAGAGAGGAGUGACUAUGAGGGCAGAGUGAGUCUGAUCACCCAGGAGCUGGAGAGAGGCAACGUGUCUCUGAGGCUGAGAGACUUCAGGUGGUCAGAUAGUGGAGUCUACAUCUGUCAGGUCAUCCAUGGAGAACAGAAGGUGGAGGCUGCAGUGGGUUUAUGGGACAGAGAAGGUAAGUGUUCUAGAACUCCAGUAAUGUUUCUAAACACCUAAACAACAACAAUAACAACCAGUCUCUUUCCCUGUACAGAACACUUGUACUUUCUCAUGUAGGUAGGAGUUCAUAGUAGGAGUUACAGAUGAAUAGACGAGAUUCAUUCUGAAUAUCAACUAGUUACAAUGCAUAUUACCAUCACUCUGAGCUUUGAGCUGGUCCUAAAGCAUUACAACCAUUCCAACAUUACUGUCACGUCCCUUGAUUGUCAUUAGUAAUGAAUGUGAUGACCAGUCAUAUCAAUAUGUUGUAUGGUAUUUGGUUGAAUAAUGUAAUGUGACUGAAAUUGGAUUGAAUGUAGCUGUAAUAACUCAUACAUUUUGUUAUACAUUAUCAAUAGUCAUUAUUAUCCAUCUUGGAUAAUGGAUGAUCAGGAUCAAUACCAUAAACCUCCCACAAUAUAUCUGCUAUAGAGGUCAAUAUUUCACAUAGUCCUCCCACUAUAUAUCUGCCAUAGAGGUCAAUAUUUCACAUAGUCCUCCCACUAUAUAUCUGCCAUAGAGGUCAAUAUUUCACAUAGUCCUCCCACUAUAUAUCUGCCAUAGAGGUCAAUAUUUCACAUAGUCCUCCCACAAUAUAUCUGUCAUAGAGGUCAAUAUUUCACAUAGUCCUCCCACAAUAUAUCUGCCAUUGAGGUCAACAUUUCACAUAGUCCUCCCACUAUAUAUCUGCUAUAGAGGUCAAUAUUUCACAUAGUCCUCCCACAAUAUAUCUGGCAUUGAGGUCAAUAUUUCACAUAGUCCUCCCCCUGUAUAUCUGCUAUAGAGUUCAAUAUUUCACAUAGCCCUCCCACAAUAUAUCUGCCAUAGAGGUCAAUAUUUCACAUAGUCCUCCCACUAUAUAUCUGCAAUAGAGGCCAAUAUUUCACAUAGUUCUUCCACAAUAUAUCUGCUAUAGAUGUCAACAUUUCACAUAGUCCUCCCACUAUAUAUCUGCUAUAGAGGUCAACAUUUCACACUCCAAAAUGAACAUGGAAUCAGCUUGAAUUCAGUUUGAUGUCCCAGUAUGAAUCAUUCUGUGAUGUUUAGACUGUUCCAAUAGCAGCACUGCUUACAUCCCUUUCCCUAGAUGUACAUUAGUAAUGAAUGUGAUGACCAGUCAUAUCAAUAUGAUGUGUGGUAUUUCAUUAAAUUAUGUAAUGAGACAGAAAUUCAAUGAACAAUAAUAACUAAUGCAUUCUGUUUUACAUGAUCAUUAUUCAUGACUCUCCAUCUUGGAUAAUGGAUGAUCAGUACAACGUGAGUAAUUACUUAUUUGUCUGUUUUGUUUAUUGACAACCAAUAACACAAGACAAAGAACGGACCAGAGUGUUAAUCUGAUACUAUAAAAACUACAGGCCUUGUGAACAGCAGUGUGUCUUCUUCAAGGCUACAAAUUAAAUCAGUUUCUUUACAUUUAUCAAUACUCUCCCCAAAUGUUCUCAAGGUAGGUUGGAUUAAUAUGUAUAGAUUUUCUUCAAAUUAUCCAGACUUUUCAUAUCAUAGAUCUCCCACAAUAUAUCUACCAUAGAGGUCAAUAUUUCACAUAGUCCUCCCAUUAUAUAUCUGCUAUAGAGGUCAACAUUUCACAUAGUCCUCCCACUAUACAUCUGCUAUAGAGGUCAAUAUUUCACACUCCAAAGUUGUUAAGAGAAUUCUGUUCUCAAUGUUCAUAAACUGACCUUCAAUUAACUUACUCGGUCUGUUUCCAAGAAUUUGUAAGGUUCUUGUUGAAAUGAAACAGACAGAGGCCAGUCUACAAUAGUCAGCAACGUUUAUUUACGAGAGCUCUACUGAGUUGUACAAAACCAUUUAUUUUAUACUUGGCUUCUUAAUCACAUACAUACACACACAACAUUAGGUAUCUAACGCACACCCCGUCCUGCUCCCCAGCUGAGAGAGAUUAGGGAAGGCCACGAAAAACACUCCCCAUCCUCCCUCAAGAUAGGGGGGCCCUGGGAAGUACGUCCUUUCCUUUCCACCAUCUCCCAGAGGCCCCAUAUCCAAGGUCUGCAUGACAAUUCUGCUAAGACAGUCUGUGUUUGAGACACCCACACACCACAUUAUCUAUAUUGUUUUACUCUAAUUCUGACUAGAAUUACACAUUUAUUGAUUGUAAUUUUAUACAUUCUAAUCAAUUCCAUGAAAUCAUACAGGGGAAAGGUGGAAUACUGUUAAUUAUAAUCCUGUGUUAAAUGUAUACAUCAUUUAGUCAUUAUUCAUCAAAUUCACAACCAAAAUGAACAUGGAAUCAGCUUGAAUUCAGUUUGAUGUCCCAGUAUGAAUCAUUCUGUGAUGUUUAGACUGUUCCAAUAGUAGCACUGCUUACAUCCCUUUCCCUAGAUGUACAUUAGUAAUGAAUGUGAUGACCAGUCAUAUCAAUAUGAUGUGUGGUAUUUGAUUGAAUAAUGUAAUCUGACUGAAAUUGGAUUGAAUGUAGCUGUAAUAACUCGUACAUUUUGUUAUACAUUAUCAAUAUUCAUUAUUAUCCAUCUUGGAUAAUGGAUGAUCAGAUCAAUACCAUAAACCUCCCACAAUAUAUCUGUCAUAGAGGUCAAUAUUUCACAUAGUCCUCCCACAAUAUAUCUGCCAUAGAGGUCAAUAUUUCACAUAGUCCUCCCACUAUAUAUCUGCCAUAGAGGUCAAUAUUUCACAUAGUCCUCCCACUAUAUAUCUGCUAUAGAGGUCAAUAUUUCACAUAGUCCUCCCACAAUAUAUCUGCCAUAGAGGUCAAUAUUUCACAUAGACCUCCCACAAUUUAUCUGCUAUAGAGGUCAAUAUUUCACAUAGUCCUCCCACAAUAUAUCUGCCAUAGAGGUCAAUAUUUCACAUAGUCCUCCCACAAUAUAUCUGCCAUAGAGGUCAAUAUUUCACAUAGUCCUCCCAUUAUAUAUCUGCCAUAGAGGUCAAUAUUUCACAUAGUCCUCCCAUUAUAUAUCUGCUAUAGAUGUCAAUAUUUCACAUAGUCCUCCCACAAUAUAUCUGCCAUAGAGGUCAAUAUUUCACAUAGUCCUCCCACAAUAUAUCUGCCAUAGAGGUCAAUAUUUCACAUAGUCCUCCCAUUAUAUAUCUGCCAUAGAGGUCAAUAUUUCACAUAGUCCUCCCAUUAUAUAUCUGCCAUAGAGGUCAAUAUUUCACAUAGUCCUCCCAUUAUAUAUCUGCUAUAGAGGUCAAUAUUUCACAUAGUCCUCCCACUAUAUAUCUGUCAUAGAGGUCAAUAUUUCACAUAGUCCUCCCACAAUUUAUCUGUCAUAGAGGUCAAUAUUUCACAUAGUCCUCCCACUAUAUAUCUACCAUAGAGGUCAAUAUUUCACAUAGUCCUCCCACUAUAUAUCUGCCAUAGAGGUCAAUAUUUCACAUAGUCCUCCCACUAUAUAUCUGCUAUAGAGGUCAACAUUUCACAUAGUCCUCCCAUUAUAUAUCUGCCAUGGAGGUCAACAUUUCACAUAGUCCUCCCACUAUAUAUCUGCUAUAGAGGUCAAUAUUUCACAUAGUCCUCCCACUAUAUAUUUGCUAUAGAGGUCAACAUUUCACAUAGUCCUCCCACUAUAUAUCUGCUAUAGAGGUCAACAUUUCACUCACCAAAAUGAAAAUAGAAUCAGCUUGAAUUCAGCUUGAUGUCUAAUUAUGAAGCAUUCAGUCAUUCUCAGACUGCUCACAUAGUAGUGCUGCUUACAUCCCUUUCCCUAGAUGUACAUUAGUAAUGAAUGUGAUGACCAGUCAUAUCAAUAUGAUGUGUGGUGUUUCAUUAAAUUAUGUAAUGAGACAGAAAUUCAAUUAACAAUAAUAACUAAUGCAUUCUGUUUUACAUGAUCAUUAUUCAUGACUCUCCAUCUUGGAUAAUGGAUGAUCAGUAUUGGAUGAGGGUGAGUAAUUACUUAUUUGUCUGUUUUGUUUAUUGACAACCAAUAACACAAGACAAAGAUCAGACCAGAGUGUUAAUCUGAUACUAUAAAAACUACAGGCCUUGUGAACAGCAGUGUGUCUUCUUCAAGGCUACAAAUUAAAUCAGUUUCUUUACAUUUAUCAAAACUCUCCCCAAAUGUUCUCAAGGUAGGUUGGAUUAAUAUGUAUAGAUUUUCUUCAAAUUAUCCAGACUUUUCAUAUCAUAGUUGUCCCACAAAAUAUCUGCUAUGGAGUUCAACAUUUCAGAGGCGUUGAGUGAAAAGCAGAAGACACAUCUCAGUUGAAAACAUUCAGUUGGACAACUGACUAGGUAUCCCCCUUUCCUUUCCCUUUCACAAUAUAUCUGCUAUAGAGGUCAAUAUUUCACAUAGUCCUCCCACUAUAUAUCUGUCAUAGAGGUCAAUAUUUCACAUAGUCCUCCCACUAUAUAUCUGCCAUGGAGGUCAAUUUUUCACAUAGUCCUCCCACUAUAUAUCUGUCAUAGAGGUCAACAUUUCACACUCCAAAAUGAACAUGGAAUCAGCUUGAAUUAAGUUUGAUGUCCCAGUAUGAAUCAUUCUGUGAUGUUUAGACUGUUCCAAUAGUAGCACUGCUUACAUCCCUUUCCCUAGAUGUACAUUAGUAAUGAAUGUGAUGAACAGUCAUUCCAAUAUGAUGUGUGGUAUUUCAUUAAAUUAUGUAAUGGGACAGAAAUUCAACGAACAGUAAUAACUAAUGCUUUCUGUUUCACAUGAUCAUUAUUCAUGACUCUCCAUCUUGGAUAAUGGAUGAUCAGAUUUCCGUGAGUAUUUACUUAUUUGUCUGUUUUGUUUAUUGACAACCAAUAACACAAGACAAAGAACAGACCAGAGUGUCAAUCUAAUACUAUAAAAACUACAGGCCUUGUGAACAGCAGUGUGUCUUCUUCAAGGCUACAAAUGAAAUCAGUUUCUUUACAUUUAUCAAAACUCUCCCCAAAUGUUCUCAAGGUAGGUUGGAUUAAGAUGUAUAGAUUUUCUUCAAAUUAUCCAGAAUUUUCAUAUCAUAGAUCUCCCACAAUAUAUCUGCGAUGGAGCUCAACAUUUCACAUAGUCCUCCCAUUAUAUAUCUGCUAUAGAGGUCAAUAUUUCACAUAGUCCUCCCACAAUAUAUCUGCUAUAGAUGUCAACAUUUCAGAGGGGUUGAGUGAAAAGCGGAAGACACAUCUCAGUUGAAAACAUUCAGUUGGACAACUGACUCUGUAUCCCCCUUUCCUUUCCCUUUCACAAUAUAUCUGCUAUAGAGGUCAAUAUUUCACAUAGUCCUCCCACUAUAUAUCUGCCAGAGAGGUCAAUAUUUCACAUAGUCCUCCCACAAUAUAUCUGGCAUUGAGGUCAAUAUUUCACAUAGUCCUCCCAUUAUAUAUCUGCCAUAGAGGUCGAUAUUUCACAUAGUCCUCCCACUAUAUAUCUGCUAUAGUGGUCAAUAUUUCACAUAGUCCUCCCAUUAUAUAUCUGCCAUAGAGGUCAAUAUUUCACAUAGUCCUCCCACAAUAUAUCUGGCAUUGAGGUCAAUAUUUCACAUAGUCCUCCCAUUAUAUAUCUGCCAGAGAGGUCAAUAUUUCACAUAGUCCUCCCACUAUAUAUCUGCUAUAGAGGUCAAUAUUUCACAUAGUCCUCCCAUUAUAUAUCUGCCAGAGAGGUCAAUAUUUCACAUAGUUCUCCCAUUAUAUAUCUGCUAUAGAGGUCAAUAUUUCACAUAGUCCUCCCACUAUAUAUCUGCCAGAGAGGUCAAUAUUUCACAUAGUGCUCCCAUUAUAUAUCUGCUAUAGAGGUCAAUAUUUCACAUAUUCCUCCCACUACAUAUCUCCUAUAGAGGUCAAUAUUUCACAUAGUCCUCCCACUAUAUAUCUGCUAUAGAGGUCAAUAUUUCACAUAGUCCUCCCACUAUAUAUCUGUCAUAGAGGUCAAUAUUUCACAUAGUCCUCCCACUAUAUAUCUGCUAUAGAGGUCAAUAUUUCACAUAGUCCUCCCACUAUAUAUCUGCUAUAGAGGUCAAUAUUUCACAUAGUCCUCCCACUAUAUAUCUGCCAGAGAGGUCAAUAUUUCACAUAGUGCUCCCAUUAUAUAUCUGCUAUAGAGGUCAACAUUUCACAUAGUCCUCCCACUAUAUAUCUGCCAGAGAGGUCAAUAUUUCACAUAGUCCUCCCAUUAUAUAUCUGCUAUAGAGGUCAAUAUUUCACAUAUUCCUCCCACUACAUAUCUCCUAUAGAGGUCAAUAUUUCACAUAGUCCUCCCACUAUAUAUCUGCUAUAGAGGUCAAUAUUUCACAUAGUCCUCCCACUAUAUAUCUGUCAUAGAGGUCAAUAUUUCACAUAGUCCUCCCACUAUAUAUCUGCUAUAGAGGUCAAUAUUUCACAUAGUCCUCCCACUAUAUAUCUGCUAUAGAGGUCAAUAUUUCACAUAGUCCUCCCACUAUAUAUCUGCUAUAGAUGUCAACAUUUCAC